rnacentral:pre_miRNA from 1 species
AAUGGGAUAGCUGGGUCAAAUGGUGGUUCCAUUCCCAAUUUUCUGAGUAAUUUCCAUACCACUUUCCAUAAUGGUUACAUCAGUUUUCAGUCCCACCAGCAAU